AUGUCGCCGGGAGCCCCACUUAGUGACCAACGGGAUCAAGACUUCCCAGCCACGGCACAGAGCAGUGGCAGGGCCUUCACCCUCAUCAGCCAGCUCACCGUCCCUGCCUGGGACCUGGCGCACAACUCCUACCAGUGCAGUGUGGAGCACACCCCAUCCCGUAAAAAGAUAGAUGUGGAGAUCACGAAUGCCUAUCCUGCCCUCGCGCCUUCUGUCUCAGCCACUGUCUCCUGCCCGGACCCAGAGGAAACUCCAGGGAAGAGAGAUUCCCACACAUUCCUCCGUGACGUCACUGGAUUCUUCCCAGCAGACAUCAGCCUCUGCUGGGAGCACAAUGGCUCCAUAGUCCCUGCCUCCCACUACAGCAGUGACCCCGCUGUCAGAUCUGGUGAGGGCUACUCCACUCAAAGCAUCUUAAGAGUCCCCAGGGCCAAGGGCGAAGGAGAAGCAGGGCCCCAAUAUUUCUGCCUGGUGUGGCACAUGAUGCUGAAUGAAACCUUGAAGGUGAAGGUGAAGCCACAGAAUUCAACCAGCAUCCUGCGGGUGUGCGUGGAGGAGUGGCAGGCGGGGGAGGAGUUCACCUGCACCGUGAAGCACCAAGACUUCCCGUCGGCCAUUGUCAAGACCAUCCGCAAGGUUCACGAGGUGUCUCUCCGGGCCCCUUCUGUCCAUGUCUACCCUCCUCACACUGAGGAGCUGGCUCUCCAGGAACCAACCCACAUCACCUGCCUGGCCUCCGGGUUCCAGCCCAGACACAUCUUGGUGACAUGGACCCAGCAGGACCGGCCCGUGCCCCUGGAAGACUACACCAACUUUGGCCCCGUGCGGGAGGUUGGGAAGGAGGAGAGCUACUUCAUCUACAGCAAGCUUAAUGUCUUGGUGUCUGAAUGGGAGUUGGGGAACACCUACACCUGCGUGGUGGGGCACGAGGGUCUGCCCAUGACCUUCAUCCACCGGAGCGUGGAGAAAUCCUCCGGUAAACCUACUGCCGUCAAUGUCUCUGUGAUCUUGUCCGACACUGACGUCACUUGCUACUGAGGAGCAGAGCCCCGCGGGCUCCUCACGGCGUAUCUGAGAUGGAGACGGAGCCUUGUGGGGUCUGGGA